UACGUAGGUGGCGAGCGUUGUCCGGAAUUACUGGGUGUAAAGGGAGUGUAGGCGGGACUUUAAGUCAGGUGUGAAAUCUAUGGGCUCAACCCAUAGCGUGCACUUGAAACUGGAGUUCUUGAGUGAAGUAGAGGCAAGCGGAAUUCCUAGUGUAGCGGUAAAAUGCGUAGAUAUUAGGAGGAACACCAGUGGCGAAGGCGGCUUGCUGGGCUUUUACUGACGCUGAUGCUCGAAAGCGUGGGGAGCAAAC
rnacentral:rRNA from 1 species